AGCUGCGUAGUGGGCACAAAGCGAACUAUUCUUUCGCCUUUUACUAAAGAAUACCGUGUGCUCGCUGCAUAUAGCAGCUUACUCAAAUUUUUUGAGGGGAUUUUCAGCAUUUGGAGAAC
rnacentral:snRNA from 1 species